GGGGGGGGGGGCAGGGGGCAGGAGAGGGAGGUGGGGAAGAUUGUUCCCAAAAUGUUGUUCCGAAACAGCUGAAGUAUGAGAUGAGAGAGAAAUACACUGUGUAGUCUUCUGAGAUACGAGGAAACUGAGAGGACAGCUGGUGUCACUUUGAAAUCAUAGAAUUACAGAAUCACCAGUUGGAAAAGAUCUCCAAGACCAUCCAGUCCCACCAUCCAACCAUCACCAUUACUUCCCCAAUAAACCAUGUUUCUCAGUACAACAGCCAAAUGGUCCUUAAACACCUCCAGGGAUGGUGACUCCUCUACCUCUCUGUACAGCUUAUUCUAGCACCUAAAAAUUCUUUUGGAGAUGAAUACUUUUUCUUUAUGUCCAACCUGAAUCUCUCCUGGCACAAGUUGAGGCCAUUCCCUCCAGUCCUAUUGCUACUUAUGUGGGCAAAGAGGCUGACUUCCACCUUACCACAGCCUCCCUUUGUGUAUUUGUGGAGAGUGGUAAGGUGUCCCCCUGAGCAGACCAAACAAUCCCAGUUCCCUCAGUUGUCUUACGAGAUAAGAGUUGUGCUCCAGACCCCUCCCCAGCUUUGUUACCCUUCUCUGAACGUACUCCAGGGCCUCAGUGUCUUUCCUCUAGUGAGAGGCCCGAAUCUGAACGCAGUACUGAAGAUGCAGCCUUGAGCAAGGGAUUGAAAGGUUGCUGAUUUAAUAUGCAUGAUUGAGUGAUUGUUGAGCUGUACAAUGCAGGCAUGUACUGUCCUGCUUUUGAUUGUCAGAUGUGUUACCUGCAAAAUAAGGUUGCUAAUAACAUGUGAAAAGCAGUGUAACUAAUUUGAGUACUGUGUAUCAUGUUUCAUCACCUGUUUCCUGUAGAUGUUGUCUGAUCACCCUCCAGUGAAAGUUAAAUGAAGGCUGUGCUAUGAAACAGGUGUAGUACAUAUUUAAAAGACACACGUGAUUUAUAAAGUUUUUAGGUGUUAAAGGAGAAGAACUUAGGUUUAGGUAUUUCUUAGGAGAUGUCGCAUGGUAUAAUAAUUGGUGAGAUUUAUAUUCAGAGUACCAUCUAGAUGAGAAAAGUGAGUUUGUAUAUUAAAGAAGCAUAUCUGUGUGAGUUAAUAUGUAUAAGAGAAGAGGUAAUAAUAGUGCAAGAUGACAUUGAUUGUUUGGGCAAGGCUGCUUCUGUGGCCUGAAGGUAAAAUUUGAAGAUUCAAAAUAGUUUCAAAGACUUGAAAAUGGUUUUGUGAUUCUCGGCAGUUACAGAUGGCUGAGGGAGCAAACUAAUUUUUAUUUCAAGUAGGUGACACGAGAAUAGCAGUAGUUCGUUGCUAGUUAAUCUAUUACCAGGGCAGUGAAACGGUAGUUUUUUCCAUAAGGACACAUAGCAGUGUCUGUGCUUUUCAGUUAAUGUUUAGGAAAAUCUUCCAAGGUAAUUUGUACCUAGAGGUUAGAGCACAGUUUUAAAAAUCAGUCCCGUUUGAAAGAGGACGAGGUAAAACUGUUAGAAAAUGAGCUUACAGCAAAACGUUUCAGAUUGUUCUUACAAUUUUAAAGGUAUUGAUCUGUCCGUCUGCUUAAUGUGUUCCAGUAUGUUUAAGAUGGAUUUGAGAAGUUUAUUUUGUCUAUGAACAACUUUCCUUUUUAAAUUUUUUUUUAAGUUAACGAGAAUGUUGAAAAAAUAUAAUGUGCUUUUAUUCUGAAGACUCUUCAGCAGGUACCAGCUACGCUUAAAUUAUUCAGACAUACAACCUUUCCUUGUAAUGUAAAAUACACUGUGAUCUGACUAGAUUCCAGAUUAGAAGUCUAGAUGAUGAGUGACAACUUUUAUUAAAAAGUGAAGGUAUGUUUAAUGUAUGUCAGUUUCUAAGGAGAGAAAGGAAAUACCUUUGAUUUUUUUGCUUUUUUUUCCCGAAAAACAUCAUGUUUUCAAAUAUGAAUUUGUUUUUUUACAAUAAUGUUUUUGCUAAAAUCUGGAAAAACAGAACAAAACCAAAAGCCAAACAAACAAACAAACAAGCAAACAAAAAACACCCAGAGAAACAGCCUGAAAUUUCAAACUGUGAAAUGCAUUCGUUUUUGAUAUUGUAGAGUGUAAGCGUAGAGUAUGAAUUGCAGUUGUUCCAAUAGUCAAGAUUUUUCCUGCUGACCUCAGUGAAACAAAACUUGGCUUCAUUGGCAAGUUGGUAGACUAAAGCAGUGUAAUUGUCCAGUAAAUAAUGAAGUUAAAAGAUAUCAGUCUGCAUAUAGUUUAUUCUUUUAAACCUGAAUUUCUGUCUUCUCAGCCUUCACAGAUUCAGAAUGGUUUGGGCUGGAUGGGACCCUUAAGAUCAUCUAGCUUCAACUCCACCUGCUGUAAGCAGGGACACCUCCCUCUAGACCAGGUUACUCAAAGUCCCAUCCAGCCUGGCUUUGAAUGCUUCUAGGAAGGGCCAUCCACAGCCUCACUGGGUAACCAGUUCCAGUGUCUCACCACCCUCUCAGUAAAGAAUUUCUUCCUAAUAUCUUGUCUAAAUCUACCCUCUUCCAGUUUGAAAACAUUUCCCCUUUUCCUUUUGGUAUAUGCCCUUCUAAAAAGUCCCUACCCACCUUUCCUGUAGGCACCCUUCAGUUACUGGGAGGCCACUAUUAGGUACCUCCAGAGCCUUCCCUUCUCCAGUCUGAAGAGCCCCAGCUAUCUAAGCCUGUCUUCAUAGGGCAGGUACUCCAUCCCUCUGAUCACCUUCAUGGCUCUUCUCUGCACCUGCUCCAACAACUGCAUGUUCUUCUUCUGUUGGGAGCCCCAGAACUACAUUUGUAUUACUUCAAUUUAAACUGUCAUAGAAUCUGUAUUUCCAGUAGGUGUUUGGAAGAAGGGAGGAGAUACAAGUUUUUUUGUUGUUUAUUUGUUUUAUUAAGGUCUUAGUAUGUGUUAGUGGUUUUCUUUCAUGUAUCCCUGGUCAUCUGUCAGCUUUUGUAACCUAAAAUUGGAAUAGUGUUCCCUAAACUUGACCACUUUGUUGUAAAUUGUCUAUACACCACUUAAGGAAAAACAAUAUCCCUUUCAUAAUAUUUAACUAAUAUGUUUAAAAGUGUUCUUUAUUUUUAUCUUUUUUGUUCUAUUUUUUGAUGAAGAGAAAAGCUUCAUUUUUAAAUACAAAUCUAAGAGACCUACUUAAUUAUGAAGCUCAUGUUUUUGGAUGAAAGUGUACUUUUCCAGUAACACUAAUUUAAAAAUAAAAAAAAUUAAAAAUUUAAAAAAAGGCAAAAAAUUCUCCAAUUCUCCUAUUUUAAUAUUUAAUUUGAAAAGAUCUCUACUUGAGUACUUUAAUAUUAUUUAUUCAAGUUACUGCAUGUUCUUUUGAGUAUGUAUGUAUAUUCAUAGACUAUGCUUUAGUUGUGCAUGUCGGCAUAGUAAAUUUUUUCUGUGAUGCUCUGUUACUAAGUCUGUGUCAAAAACUCUAUUUUCAGAUAUUUAAGUAAAUGACAAAGUUCUCUUGAGUUAAAACUUGAUAACUUUUAUGCUUGUAAAGCUUCUCACUUCAUGAUACUGAUUCCUCUUUUAAGUUCUUGUAAAAAUACAUUUUCUACUAGUAAAAAUAUUUGAUGGCAUUCAGGUAUGUUGGGUAUUAAAACAAUAGAGAAUGUUAACUAUUUCAAUUAAGUUGUUGAAACUUAAUAACUUAAGUAGAAAUGCUUUUGAAAUAUGACCAUUCUAUUUUACUUCUAAAACCUCAAUUUCUUAGGUUUAUCUUAGGUUAUGGAAGAACCUGUGUGUCCUAGCAUUCCAAAACCGUUAACAGUGGAUGUUUUUGUACCAGUUGUUUAUUUCCUUCCAAGUAAGAAGAUUGUGUUACCUGAAUAAGCAGUUUACAAAAAGUAAACAUACAGUUGAAGUGUCCAAUUGCAUGAGCUCUUUCCUGUCUGGUUUUGAAAUGCAGCUCUUCUUUUAGGAGAAACAUAAAAUAACAAAGCACUGUAUCUGUGAAGACCAAGAAUAAAAUAUAGAUAGAGAUUGCUGAAUCUUAAUUUGGCUCAAAAAGCUUUAAUUUGUUAUGAAACAUGAACUUAAAAAAAAUAAUAAUAAUUGCUAUUUGUAUGUCUUACCUUAUUCACAGUUGAAUUAUGCAACUUAAUGAACUUUUUUGAGAGUUUUGAACUAAUUACAAUUCAAAUUAAAGAAUUUUGAGCAAAUUAAUCAGUUAACCAAGUUUUUUGCUACUUCCAGAGAAUAAAUAUCCCCCGUGCAAUUCUUCUUGUAAAACUUUUUUUUCAUGCUAACGUCAGCCCAUCCUUCCUCAGGAAAUAUCUUUAAGAGAUUUACUCUAGACUGUUUUAUGAAGUCAUGACAAAAAUAUUUCACUAGGAUUUUGCUAUCUUUGUCCCCCUCUGUGUCAGUGGAGACUUCUAGAUAUACUUUCCCUCCAUUCUUCUCUCUGGAAGUUUGUUCACUUGUCAUUAACAAACCCCGUUUUAAAAUGGUCUUGAACAGGUAUUGGUUGUUAAUAGUAUAACUUAACUGGAGAAUGAUCUCUUAUAUUUUUAUUUUUUACAGCCUCUGCUGCUGUGAUUCAAUACAUUUCCUAAGCUGUACUGUUCUUAAUAAAACUGAAAGUAUUGAAUCUUAGACCAUGCAUGGAAGGGAAGUAGAGGUUUUCUAGUCAAAAACUUUGCUUAAAGCAGGAUAAAGCAUAGGUUGUUCAGAAACUUGUUCAAUUCUGAGUGUAUCCAGGGAUGAGGAGUCCACAGCGUUUAUGGGCUACCCAUUCCAAUAGUAGGUCAGAAUUUUCACUAUUCUGGCAUUUCUCCUGUGCAUCUUGACCCUAUGUAAGUCUGAUGCCAGUCUAGCUCUGUCUUGUAAGAGAACUCUGUGCAAUUGUAUGGUAUAGCAUGAGCGUUAUUGGAAUCUUGUGUAGUCGCUUUUGCUCAAGUUACAGUGCGAUUACAGACUGAUCUGUGCUACCUAGUUAGUGGAAGACAAAUCAAGCUUUUCUUAGCUAUUUAUAGAAUGCAGACAUAUUCCCAGGAUUCAUAGUUUGUAGUCACCUGAAGCAAGGUUACAGAUUGUUGAUCUGGAUUUGCUUAAUUACAGGUAUAUGCCUGGCUGUGAAAAACAGAAAUGCUCUUUAAUUCUAACAGUGUCUCGUGUUGGUGUUAUCUUUCCUUUAUUUCAGAAAGCAUAACAUAUUUUCGUUAUAUCAGCUUUAUUAAAUUUAUUACAGAAGGUUGUGUAUAUUUUGUAAAUUCUGUGACUUUUGAAGUUAAAAGAUGUUUGUGAUGCAGAAAGCAUUUAGGGGGACAUUAAAUAGAUUUUGAAAUUAUUUAAGUGGUUGAUUAUUUUAUGAUAAAACAAAAGCGAAAAGAUGUUUUUGCGGUCUGGUCACAAGAAACUGAUUGUGGUGAAGACUGGAAACCUUUGAGGGCCUUUCUAUAACAUCUUAAGUUGUUAGAAUUCAGUCUUCUGAGGAAAGUGACCGUUAUUUGUCGAGAUGAAUGGUAGUAUGGUCCUUUCUCUAGAGUUAAAAUGGUCUACAUUUGUAUUCAGAUACCUGCAAUGAAAAAAGGUGUUUUUUUUUUUUAAAGCAGUAAGUUCUUAAAAUUGGGAAUAGCUGACCAAGACUCAUGGGCAGCAAUCCUCAGUGACUAAGUAAAUGUGUCACUAAAAUUGCUUUUGUCAAGAGGUAACCCUCUGGAGUUAAGUCCGUCCUUGUCUUGUUAGUGAGUUGUUUGGUUUUUUUUGUUUGUUUGUUUGUUUUCUGUUUUUUUCCUGACUGUGGGUAGAUCUCAGUGACUAAAGCAUUUAGAAGCCAGACUAUACUGACCUUCUCUCCAUUCAGCCUCUUAAUUUGAAGUAUCUCUGUGGCACUUGUGAAGUCUUUUCUUAUGGAUGAUGUUGUCCUGAAUACUUAGGAUUGGGCAAGGAAUCCCCAUGUGCUCUAUGGAUUGUGGUCUAAUAGUCAAAAUGGUACACUUGAGAGGUAGAUCUCUAACUCAGGAAAUGCUCUGCAGUAAAGCUUAGCAACUAUUUCUGAAUCACAAGUAGAGUAAUAUUUUAGACUUUGGCCUAGCGUUGACACCUUCUUAAUGAUCCAGGAGAAAAUGCUUCUGUUUCAAUUUGUAUUUGUUCUUUCCUGUACUUAAAUACACACCACGUAUGUGGUUGUUAAACAUUUACAGCAGCUUUUCAGGUAGUUUUAGUUUUACAUGUACAGUUGGGCAGUUGGGCAUCAAUGGAAAGUUGUUUUCCCUGCUAGUAAUUUUCUAUCUAAAUGCCUCCUGAAAGCUAAGCAGCAUGCUACAUCAGCACUUCUCUAGGAAGCCUAUUCCAGUAGUUAACCACCUUCACAGUAAAGACUUUUUUUUCCUAAUUUGUGGUCUGAGCCUCUCCUGGUACAGUUUUGUGCUAUUCCCACACAUGUGGCCAUCAGUUCCCAGAAGCAGAACCUGGUACCUCUCUCUGCUUUCUCCAGUCAGGGAGCUGCAGCAAGCAAUGAGAUCUUCUUUCAGCUUCUCUUCUCUGGACUGAACAGCCCAAGUAUCCUCAGCUUCUCCUCACAGGACAUGCCUUCCAGCCUUGUUACCAGCUUCAAUGCCCUCUUUUGGGUACUGUCAAGAAUUUUAACAUCCUUUUUGUAUUGUGGGGACCAGAAGUACACUCUGGUAGUACUCAGAGUGGCACCACACAGCUGAGGAGCCCACCACUGGUUGCAGUACUCCAGAUGUGACCUCAGUAGGACAGAGUAGAGGGAGAGGAUCACUUCCUUUGACCCGCUGGCCAUUCUGUUUUAAUUCACCCUAGAAUACCAUUUGCCUUCUUGGCCCCUAGGGCACACUGCUGGCUCAUAGUCUGCCUGUUGUCCACCAUAACACCUAGGUCCUUCUCUGCAGUGUUCCUUUCCAGUAGGUCAGCCCCUAACUUGUACUGAUGUGUGCAGUUAUCCCUCCUCAGGUGUAGGACUAUACACUUGCCCUUGUGGAACAUCAUAAUGUACCUCUCCAACCAACUCUUCAGCCUGUCCAAGUCUUGCUGAAUGGCAGUGCAGCCUUCUGGUGUGUCAGCCAAUCUUCUCAGCUUUGAAUAAUCAGCAAACUUGCUGAGGGUAUAAUCUAUCCCUUCAUCAAGGUCAUUCAUGAAGAUUUUGAACAAGACUAGACUCAGUACAAACCCCUGGGGAACUUCGCUAGCCUCCAAAUAGACUUCAUGUUGCUGAUGACAACCCUCUGAGCUCUGCUAUUCAGCCAGUUCUCAUUUGAGGAGCCAUGUUAUAUGAGUACCGAUAAGUUCUAAUACCACAUUUUUUUUGUAGCAUUUACUCUGUAGAUUAUCUUAAUACUUAGUAUUUUGUGAAAUUUGGGGAUUGUUUUUUUGCUUACAUUUGCUUAGUACCUUUCAGAUGAGAAUAUGGUUCAUGAAUAACAGUUCUAUUUUAAUUUACUUAAUAAGAACUGUAUCCAAGGAAAGAGUAACUUGUUCAGUUAAUGACUGUAUAUAAUUAUUGAGAUUUUUUGUCUACUCUUAUUAUACUUAUAGAAGUGUAUAUAUUAGUGUUUAAUGUAUGCUGUGCUUUGUUGUUCUGAAAAUGUUUCUUAAAAUAAAAUUGGGAAAGGCAGUUACAGAAGUCACUCCAUUCCACAUCUACACUUUUCUUUCUUUUUUUUCCUUUUUUGAAUGCCUCCAGGGGCAGUGAAACCACCACCUCCCUGGGCAGCCUGUUCCAAUACCUUAGCACUCUGAGAAGGAGUAUUUCCUAAUAUCCCACCUGAACCUCUCCUGGCACAACUUAAGGCCAGAACCUCUUGUUCUAUUGCUAGUUAUCAGGGAGAAGAGGCUAACUCCUGCCUUGCUGCAGCCUCCUUUCAGAUAGUUGUAGGGAGCAAUAACGUCUCCUCUGAGCCUCCUCCAGUCCCAGUUCCCUCAGCCACUCCUCGUAAGGCUUGCGUUACAGACCCUUCAAAUUUGAAUAGUUUCAUCAUGCGUUGUUAGCAGUUAUAGAGAAUGGCCUGAGCAAACUUAUCAUUGUUGACCCUGCUUUUUGCAGGUGGUUGGACUAGAUGACCUACUGAGAUCCAUUGUCUGAAUUACUGUAUGUUUUGCUCCAUACAAACUUGAUCAUAAAAUCCAGUAUUUAAUGAAAAUGCAGUGACUUACUCUGUAAUCCGUGAAAAGCUUUCAUUUCACAGGAGUGUGACUCCGGGAGUGACUUCUGAAGCCCUAUAGGAUGUGACUGUCUGGAGAGCUAAUGUUUUGGAAAUUGCAUAGGUUACCUGCUAUGUUUUUUCCAGCCAUAAUUUCUGUCAGUCUGCAUUCUGGAGGUUGAUUUCUUAUUACCUAAUUUUACAGUUACUUAGUUCCAGUAACAGGUAUGUUUUAAGAGACCACAUUUAGUCAUGGUAAGGCUGUGUGUGUUGUUUCAAGUUUGUUUGGUUUGGAUUAUUUUUUUGUCUUUUCUAUCUCAUCCUUCUGUGGGUUGUCAGCACUUAAUGUAAUCUUUCCAAUUCUGAUGACACUUUUUUUGCCUUAGUCUUCACUGGCAGCUGCUCUUCACACACUCCUUGAGUGGAUCAUUCAAAAGGUGGGAACUCUGGGAGUGAUGUCUCUCCUGCUGAGAGCAAAGAUCAUGUUUGUAACCAGUUAAGGAACUUGAACAUCCAUAAAUCUAUGGAUUCUGAUGAGAUGCAUCCCAGAGACCUGAGGGAAUUGGCUGAUGUAGUUGCCAGGCCACUCUCAGUGAUAGUUGUGGCAGUCAGGUGAAGUCCCUGGUGACUGGGGAAAAAGGCAAUGUGACACUCAUUUUUAAGAAGGGUAGAAAGAAUAACCCAGGGAACUACCAACCUGUAAGCCUCACCACAGUGCCAGGGAAGGUCAAGGAGCAUAUCUUCCUGGAAGCUGUGCUAAGACAUCUGGAAGAGAAGGAGGUGAUAAGGAGCAAGCAGUGUGGCUUCAUCAGAGGCAAGUCCUCCUGACCAACCAAGUGGCUGCCUGUGAUGGUAUAAUUGUAUCACUGCACAAGGGAAGGGCCACUGAUGUCUUCGGUCUGGACUUAAAUAAGGGUCUUUAAAAUGGUUCCCUACAAUAUCCUUUUCUUCAAAUUGGUAAGACAUGGAUUUGAUGGGCAGACUGUUCAGUGGAUGAGGAACUGGUUAUGAGAUCGUACCCAGAGAGUGGUGGCCAGUGGCUCAAUGUCCGGAUGGAGAUCAGCGGUGAGUGGUGUCCCUUGAGUCAGUACUGAGACAGACCAGCAUCUAACAUCUUCAUCAUAGUGUCAACAGUGGGACUGAGUGCACCUUCAGGAGUUUUGCAGAUGACAUCAAGCUGUAUGAUGCAGUUGACAUGCCUAGGGGAUGGGAUGCCAUCCAGACAGACCUAGACAGGCUUGAGCAGUGGGCCCAGGAUAACCUCUUGAGUUUUAAAAAAUCCAAGUGUAAGGUCUUGCGCCUGGAUUGCUGCAAUUUUCACCAAACUAGGAGAAGAAAUGAUAGAGCAUAGCCUUGACAAAGAGAACUUGGGGGUACUGGUGGAUGAUAAGCCAGACACGAGCCAGCGAUGUGCCUUUGUAGCCCAGAAUACCAACCAUAUCCUGGGCUGCGUCAAAAGAAGCAUUGUCAGCUGGUCAGGGGAGGUGAUCUGUACUGGUGAGACCUCAGCUGGAGUACUGCAUCCAGACGUGGAGUCCCCAGUACAUGAGAGACAAGGACCUCUUGGAGUGCAUCUAGAGGAGGGCCACAGAAGUGAUCCAGGGGAUGGAACACCUUCCCUAUGAGGAUAAGCUGAGAGAGCUGGGGCUGUUCAGCCUGGAGGAGAGAAGGCUCUGGGGGAAGCUAGUAGAGGCCUUUUAGUAUCUAAAGCAAAGAAGGAAGGGGACAGACUCUUUAGCAGGGUCUGUUGUGAUAACACAAGGGGAGAUGGUUUCAAACAAAAGAAUGGGAGAUUUAGUUUGGAUAUAAGGAAGAAGUUCUUAUCAGUAAGGAUAAUGAAGCACUGGAACAGGUUGCCCAGAAAGGUGAUGGAAGGCCCAUUCUUGGGGAUGUUCAAGAGUAGACUGUAGGGGACUCAGUGCAACUUGAUCUAGCUGUAGAUGCUCCUCCUGUUCGUUGCAGGGGAGUUGGAUUAGAUGACAUAUAAAGGUCUCUUUCAACUCAAAUGAUUCUAUGAUUCUAUGAGAUAUUGCUCCCAGUCCAUAAGGAAAGAAAAGUUUUAUGCAAGAAGUAAUAUAUGUUUGGAAAGACAGUGUCUCCUUGUAAUAGUUCUUGUUUACUUCAGAUAAAGUCUUAGUACAUGUCAACCGCUGAAUUUCUGAAAUGUACUUUGUCCAGGUUCGUUAGUACUUAGUCUAUACAUUGUUUACUUAUAAUACAUUCUGAUUUUUCUGUUAUUUAUUUAUUUUGUCAUCAUUAAACAAAAUAUGUAAGCAGGCUAGUGUUUCUUUUUUACAGAUAGAUACUUAGCUUUUUGUUCAAAAGCAGAGGUGUGUUUAAAUGUGUGAAUGUGUAUUCUAUGUAGCAAGGGAUCCUUCCUAGCUGGUUGAGCAUCAUUUAACCUAGAAUUUGUAUGGAAUCUCCGAAGACUUGGGAAUUAGUGGAUUAGCAGUUAAACAUGGAAACACCAUUGAUACUUGGAUUUCUUUGAGAAUUUUUUUUUCCUCUGUUCCAUUUAGAUGAUAUGUGGCAUGAUUCAAAAUCAUGCUUGCCAAACAGCCAAGAAACGCCUGUUAAAAUUUGUGAAGCAAGGUGGUGUUAAGUCAAGAUAAGUCUGAUAAUGAGCUCAAGAUUAUGAAUGUGAAAUGUAAUGUAAAGAUGAUGGAUCCAAUAACAAGUUCUUCUUCUUUCUUCUUUUGCCCUGCAUUUGAGUGUGUGUGUGUGUGUGUGUGUGUGUGUCAAAAGUGACUUAUUUCUGUUUUAUGUAUCUCUAGGCUCUUAAAAGUGUUCUUGUGGUUAUUUUUUGUCAUCUUGGAAAUUCUUGCUAAUGUUUAAUACAUUUUUUUCCUACAGAGACAUGUUUUUACUGCACAGAAGUGGUGCAUGCGUGUGAUGAUAAAUUAAUUGAUCAGUGUUCUUGUAUUAUUUUUCAUACUUUAUAGAUUCUUGUUUGUUUUCCCUCAGCCCUACUCAACCCAACUUCUCUAAUUUAGCGUGCCUUUCCAAAAUUGCUUUGUUACACAUCUAUGAAUUUCUUCUAGUUUGAGUUCUAAACCGUAGUAGAGCCUAUGGGACCUGAAGCCAAGACAUGCAUAGUGUAGAUAAAAUAGUCAUUUGCCUUUCUAAAGAUUUUAGCUUUGAUUCCUAUAUGAAUGCUGUUUCUUUGAAAAGGUUUGGAACGUUACUAUUACGUAGUUUUAGAAGUUCUUGUUAAGGUGCUAAGCCACACUGAAAGUAUUAGAUAUAUUUCAGGAACAUAUUUUUAGACUGAGUUUAUUCUAAAGCAGUUAGUUUGGAGUUUUCCAAGCACAUCAGCAAAAGUAAGAGUUAAGAAAGCAAUUCCACCUUUUCACAGAAACAUUUCUGUUAGCUGAAUCAAGUGUGUUAAGUAUAUUAAAAUUUCUGUUACAAAGUAAAUCAGGCUGUAUACAGGGUUAAAUGAAACUAGAAGUGCUUCAAUAAUCAUUAAUGCCGAAAGACCUAUUACUAUCGUAUGUUUUAAUUCAAAUUAAACAGAAUGCAAUUAUUGAGUGUUCUUAUGGUUUUAUGUAUAUAGCAAUUCACAUUCUUUCCCACACUGAAGCUCUUUUUAAAUCAAGAGGAGAGCUCAUUUAACAUAGCAGCUUUCUAUAGUAAAAAUAAUUCACCCAGAAUUUUCAGAUUCCUUUAGUACCUCAGAUUUAGGUUAAAUUUUAUAGUGCCUAUGUAAUAUGCCAACUUGUCUUGGAAUGUCAUUUAGUAGUGUAUGUUCACUUUCUCAUUUAUACAUUGCUGCCUUGAUUCUGCAGUGCUGUUCCAAUUUCACUUUCAUUGCAAUCAUUUAUCUUUGCAUAUUUCGUAUUUUUCAGUAACAUUAAAGCUCUGAAUGUUAACAGAAUUCAUGAAUAGUUGACCAGUUAAGAUUAAUACUGACUGGAAGAAUACCCAAUCACCUUCCCCGUCAAAAACAAAGUAAACAUUCACAGUCCCUAAAAAGAUAUGUAGUUCUGAAAAUCAAAAGUAAAUAUUGGAUCAUGCUUUUUUUCGGUUGAACCAGAUCUACUUACAUUUUAAUAGUGUUGAUUUAAUUGAAGUUUAUCAAUAAGAACUUGGAAAUAAAUAUAUUAAACUUUGGAAGAUGUUUAUUUAAUCUUUUCCUGGUAAUUUUUUUCAACAGUGGAUAUAAAUUGAAUGUGUCCAGUUUGACAGAAAUUUGGAGACCUUCUGAAUUGUUCUAUUUCUGAAGAUGUGCUUUCAUUGUAUUAAGUUUCUCCAUCCUAUAAACUGAAGUCAAUUAACUUUGCAAAUGUUUUGACAUUUUAUUAAAAAAAAAAAAAGUUUUUUUGUAUUCAUUCGCAUAUCAUGGUGAUUUUUUUUUUUUUUUACUUUUUUUAUUUAUACAUGGCUGUUCAUGGGAGGAUAUUAUAUCUUGGGUUACUUUCAGUAGCAACGUAACUUAUCCUGCAGUUUUGUAAAAGGAAUGUCAGCUUAACUGUAAAUAUUUCAAAAUACCACAGAAUUUAGGGCUACAACUCAAAAAUGCUGAUCAGUUUGUAAAAUCUAAAUCAACCCCUACAUGAAACCUAGAGAAGGAUCUCUGUGGUAGCAAAAAAAUUUCCAGAAAUUCACUGCAAGAUUUUUCUGAACUGCAGUUUGUGCUGACAGCUAGGAAUAAAUGGGAAAAGCAGGAAACAUAUUUGAUUUAAUCACACUGCUGAUUUGGAAAAACAACUUAAGAAUAGACGCUGUUUUUAUAUUUUAAUUUGUGAUCACAGAGCUGUAAAGUACACUGCAUAUUUCCAUAUCAUUAAAUUGAGUUAUGUUCAUUAGUUAUUAAGAAAAUCCUUCAUUUCAGAAUCUAAUGGUCUGAAAUUCUGUUUUGUUUUGUUUUUAAUAUUCAGAUGAACUGGGUUAUGUUGCUGUUAGUAUCAUUUAUGUAGGUACUAGAGAAUUGACUGCUGUGUUUCAGAGCAAUAGACAUAACUUUAAAAUUAACUUUUCCUAUUUUCCCAUCUUAAAAAGCAUUUGUAACUGUCUUAUUUUGAAAAGUUCUUCAAUAUUGUUGUGCUUAUCUUUUCUCUUGAAGAUUUUCAAAUUCCAACUUAAAAGUUCAACCUUUUUUACUUGUAUCAAUAAAAUUUGCUCUUAAAAGAAAGCUUGCAGCUCUUGUAACCUCUGUGUGAAAUUAAAAAAAAAAAAAUAUUCUAUAGGUCUCUUGAUCUUUAGUAGAACUGGUACAUUAGGAUGAUUUCAGGUACCUUGUGGAGUUCAAGUUAAGCAUUGAAAUGACUGAAUCCUGUUUUCUGAAUGAGAAGGUGAUAAGGUUAGGAAGAGCACAUAGAUGAGCUCUUGUAUCCAAGUGUUUAUUCAUCUGUCAUUUAACUGAGUUACAAUAUAGGAGUCCAUUUUUUUCUUUUGACUCCUAGUUGAUCAUAAAAUUAACACAUUUGUCUUAUGAAACUGACCAGUGAAAUAUAAUUAUUUUCCUGCAGUGUACUGUGUUGUAUUACUUCAUCUUCCUGGUCUUCAGGAUUUAACUACUGAUUUCUACCGUACUGUAGUACUUGUUGAAAAAUGGAUGAUGAUGAUUUUGGAGGAUUUGAGGCAGCAGAGAGCUAUGAGUGUGGAAAUGGUGACAAGCAGAUGACAUCUCCUGCUAUUCCAUGGGCAGCAUUUCCUACAGAGUUUGAAGUCCAUAUAUCUCAGAAUGUUUCUCCCGAUGUUCUUCUGGAGCACUGUGUGCCUUCAUCCUUCCUGGAUGCUUCUGACUCAUUCACUUCAUCAAGUGAUAAUGUUGCAACAUCUAUUCAGAAAGUCAACAAUGUGAUAAACUCAGCUGUUCUUGAAGAACAGAUUCAAGUAGAUAUUCCAGUUGCCUCUUUGAAUUUAACAGAAGAUAAGUCUUUAGUCACAUCAUCCAUUGCUAUGGAUGAUGCUCAGACACAGAGAACAGAUGAAUCAAAGAGCUGCCUUCAACAAACUCUAGCAAAUCUAGAAAUCAAUCUUUGUGCUGCUGAAGAAGAAAAAUUAAAAAUUAAAAAGGAAUUGGAAUAUUUACUUAAAAAGCAUAGUGUUCAAGAAAUGGAUUUUUUGAAGGAGAAAAAAGAAAAAGCUCUUUCACAUGAAGAUCAUUACAAGAUACUCCAGGAAAAGCAUAAGCAGGAGUUAGAAGAUAUGAGAAAAGCUGGACAUGAAGCCUUGAGUAUUAUUGUUGAAGAGUUCAAGUCAUUGCUACAGUGUACAGUUCAACAGCAAGAAGCAGCUACUGAAAAACAGUAUAUACUAGCAAUUGAAAAACAUUCUUACAAAUGUCAAGAGCUUCUUGAUGUUCAGCAUCAGAGACUUCUUGACAUUUUGGAAGCAGAGAAGGAAGUCUUAUCAGAAAAGAUAGAAGAGGCUUUGAUGCAGCAGUCACAAAAACAUAAGGAAAUGCUGGACAAAUGUUUGGAUGAAGAAAGAAAAAGAAGUAAGGAGGCUGUAGCAGCUGCUGCAAAGGCUGAAAAAGAAAUAGUACAGGAAGUUGUUCUGAAAGCUGUAGAGGAGGAAAGGAGAAAUAUGGAGAAGAUUCAUGAAGAAGAAAGAAAUAUGUGGAAAGCAGAACAUGAGAGACUUAACAAGAAGAUUGCCCAGGCUGUUUGGGAAGCAAUGCAAGAGCAAAGAAGACAUAAUGAAGAAAUUAUCAAGGAAGCAUUAAUGGAGGAGCGAAAACAAAGUGAAAAGGCAAUUGAAGAAGCUGUUAAAAGGACAAGAGAGGAACUAAUGGAAUAUAUUAAGGAGCAGAAAAGGGUGGAACAGGAAAAGGAUAUGGCAGAAUUUGCUUGCACUUCGUUUUUACCAUUUGUCCUCAUCAGUUUUGCUACAGUUUUGUUGUGCUUCAGCAAGAUGUCAUCAUGGAGAAGUGGGAGAAGCGUAUGAUUACUAUCAGCAAGAAUGUUAAAACUGACAAUUGUACCAUGGCCAUCAGAAGGAAUAAGUUACCUUGGCACUCACCAGGAGGGGCUCUGAACUGCUGAUGUUGAAAGAAGAAAAGAAGGAAAUAGUCAUAGUAAGUGUCCUUAGGUGGAGAGAUGAGUGUGACCUAGAAUGUAAAUAACCUCAGGUCAAACUACAGAAUACAUCAGAAAGCGGAGUCUCAGUUGCUGUUCAGAACUCUUUAGAAAGCAGUGAAAAACAUAAACUGAGAACCAGAACCUAAAAUACUCAACUAAAAUCAGGUAGGUGCUCCAUCUUUUGUCUAAAGUCUUAAGUAUCAGGAAUGAGAUCUGAAUCCCAAGCUUGCUUUUUUAUUACUGGACCCUCCACUCUAAAGAAAAGAAGGAAAAUGAAGUACUGAAGAAGUAGCUUAAAUUCUUUUAUCUUAAAUCUCUUUAUUUCACAUAGUAGUUAUGCUCUAAUUCUGCAUAAACAAACAAACAAACAAAAAAUGGGAUGAAGAAUGACAUGCCAGCAUUUGAAAUGCAACAUUAUUCAACUGGGAGAAAAAGGAAAAGAAUUAGAUCUUCAGGCAGAGUUGCAUUAGAACUAGUAAUUGACUCUAUUCCACUCAAGGAAGAAAGAACAGUGUUUUUCGGCUUUGACCUGGCAUUUGGCAGAAGUACAAAACUCAACCAGAUGCAGCAACUGGCAGUGAAGGAGGGCAAAUCAGCCUUGGUCAUCGAGUCUGGAGAGGUCAUAUCAAUACAGGUCGUAUCAAAAUAUUCCAGUUUCAAAACAAAGUGAGAAAAAGUAAUGAAAGGAGUAAAUGUAAGUACUAAGUAGAAAGUGGUAUUUCUGCCCUGGAAAGAUGCUUCAGAUUUCCUAAGUAUUCCUAGGAGGGACAAAAUAUAUAUAUUUUUUUGUUUACAUGUGAGAGCACAAAAAUGUACUACCAGGAAGUAGAUUUCAGAUGAAAUACUGAUUCCACUCUAAAAGCUUCUGCAUGGCAGAUGUCUGCAUGACAGAUCAUCAUAAUCCUGAAUGGAGAGGAUCUUUCUCAGUCUGCUUGUUUGAGGAUAACAAGUUAAUUCCCCAUCAGAAAAUGAGCCUGCCCACAUGUCAUCUAUCUAAACAAAGAGGUACUGUGCUAUAGCAUGAAGUUAGUCCUGUCUAGAAACUUUACCAUUAAUCAGAGAAAUCUUCUUUUCCUAAACUUUCUAUGAAAAAGUUCUUUUUUUUUUUUUU